rnacentral:rRNA from 1 species
CAACUUUCAGCAACGGAUCUCUUGGCUCUCGCAUCGAUGAAGAACGCAGCGAAAUGCGAUAAGUAAUGUGAAUUGUAGAAUUCAGUGAAUCAUCGAAUCUUUGAACGCACCUUGCGCUCCUUGGUAUUCCGAGGAGCAUGCCUGUUUGAGUGUCAUUA